AGUCGAGGGGCAGCAUUUUAGUUUGCUUGCAAACUAAAGAUGGCGACCGGCGCACGGGUGAGUAACACGUAUCCAACCUGCCGAUAACUCGGGGAUAGCCUUUCGAAAGAAAGAUUAAUAUCCGAUGGUAUAUUAAAACCGCAUGGUUUUACUAUUAAAGAAUUUCGGUUAUCGAUGGGGAUGCGUUCCAUUAGUUUGUUGGCGGGGUAACGGCCCACCAAGACUACGAUGGAUAGGGGUUCUGAGAGGAAGGUCCCCCACAUUGGAACUGAGACACGGUCCAAACUCCUACGGGAGGCAGCAGUGAGGAAUAUUGGUCAAUGGACGAGAGUCUGAACCAGCCAAGUAGCGUGAAGGAUGACUGCCCUAUGGGUUGUAAACUUCUUUUAUAUGGGAAUAAAGUAUUCCACGUGUGGGAUUUUGUAUGUACCAUAUGAAUAAGGAUCGGCUAACUCCGUGCCAGCAGCCGCGGUAAUACGGAGGAUCCGAGCGUUAUCCGGAUUUAUUGGGUUUAAAGGGAGCGUAGGUGGAUUGUUAAGUCAGUUGUGAAAGUUUGCGGCUCAACCGUAAAAUUGCAGUUGAAACUGGCAGUCUUGAGUACAGUAGAGGUGGGCGGAAUUCGUGGUGUAGCGGUGAAAUGCUUAGAUAUCACGAAGAACUCCGAUUGCGAAGGCAGCUCACUAGACUGCAACUGACACUGAUGCUCGAAAGUGUGGGUAUCAAACAGGAUUAGAUACCCUGGUAGUCCACACAGUAAACGAUGAAUACUCGCUGUUUGCGAUAUACAGUAAGCGGCCAAGCGAAAGCAUUAAGUAUUCCACCUGGGGAGUACGCCG
rnacentral:rRNA from 1 species